GGUUUCUCUGUGUAGCCCUGGCUGUCCUGGAACUCACUCUGUAGACCAGGCUGGCCUUGAACUCACAGAGAUCCCACCUGCUUCUGUCUCCCGAGUGCUGGGAUUAAAAGCAUGUGCUACCAAUGCCUG
rnacentral:miRNA from 1 species